rnacentral:rRNA from 1 species
AACGAACGCUGGCGGCAGGCUUAACACAUGCAAGUCGAACGAGAAGCUGGCUUCGGUCAGUGGAGAGUGGCGCACGGGUGAGUAACGCGUGGGAAUUUGCCUUUCGGUACGGGAUAACGUUUGGAAACGGACGCUAAUACCGUAUGAUGUCUACGGACUAAAGAUUUAUCGCCGAAAGAUGAGCCCGCGUAGGAUUAGGUAGUUGGUGGGGUAAUGGCCUACCAAGCCGACGAUCUUUAGCUGGUCUGAGAGGACGAUCAGCCACACUGGAACUGAGACACGGUCCAGACUCCUACGGGAGGCAGCAGUGGGGAAUAUUGGACAAUGGGCGCAAGCCUGAUCCAGCCAUGCCGCGUGAGUGAAGAAGGCCUUAGGGUUGUAAAACUCUUUCGCUAGGGAAGAUAAUGACGGUACCUAGUAAAGAAGUCCCGCUAACU